GACGAACGCUGGCGGCGUGCUUAACACAUGCAAGUCGAGCGGUAAGGCCCUUUCGGGGGUACACGAGCGGCGAACGGGUGAGUAACACGUGGGUGACCUGCCCUCAGCUCUGGGAUAAGCCUGGGAAACUGGGUCUAAUACCGGAUAUGACUCCAUGACGCAUGUUGUGGGGUGGAAAGCCUUGUGCGGCUGAGGAUGGGCCCGCGGCCUAUCAGCUUGUUGGUGGGGNGAUGGCCUACCAAGGCGACGACGGGUAGCCGGCCUGAGAGGGCGACCGGCCACACUGGGACUGAGACACGGCCCAGACUCCUACGGGAGGCAGCAGUGGGGAAUCUUGCGCAAUGGGCGAAAGCCUGACGCAGCGACGCCGCGUGAAGGAUGAAAUCUUUCGGGAUGUAAACUUCGGAAGAAUAGGAAGAAUAAAAUGACGGUACU
rnacentral:rRNA from 1 species